GUAGUAAAGAUCAUAAUUACAAGACAAAUAAUCGAUGAGAUACUUUGACGGUUCACAUGAUUUGAGGUCACCUCUCUACCCUCUCAAAUGCCCCUCUAUUGGAGAGUUAGGCUGCGUUCUGCAACCUAUGCUAUUAAUCCAUAUUCUCUCUUUUUCUUUAUCCAUCACCACACUAUCUCAACCUCCAUAUUCUCUCUUUUUCUUUAUCCAUCACCACACUAUCUCAACCUGGGUCGUCACCUCUACAUCUGCAUUUGUGCCCAGUCAAACCACCCACAGGGGUUCAAUAGAGGGAGGGAGAGGGAGUCUUGAGAGAAAGAUGAGUGGUUCUGUCUUGCGUGUGCUCGGUCAAAUGGGAUGAAUAAGAGAUAAGAUUCCACCUCAUUGCCAGUGAUGGGUAAAAUAUAAAUCCAUUUGGGGUUAUACCUUAAUUGUGAGAGACAUAAUUUUGAACCCGUUAUAGAUAGGGACACUCAUCCAUGAGAAGUAAUAAAUCAAUCUUCGUCACAAUAACUCCUUCUCUAUGAUAUGAUAGGUUGUUAUCUGAACCCAACAGAGAGCAUCUAUGUUGGGUCUAAACAUCAACCCAUCACAGAUAACACAUUACCUGGGUGGUGUCGUUUAGCCUUAUCUCUAAAAGUCCUAUUUUAACCCGUUGGAAAUGAGGUCACGUGUGACGAGUUAUUUUAGCAG
rnacentral:lncRNA from 1 species